UUAAAAAAAAGCAAUCUGAGUGCCCAAGGUCUCCCAGAAUUGUCAGAUCUGUAGCCAGGCAAACACAGAAAGCUAUAAUCAGGAAAAUGAUGGUGAUGGUUUCCUGAAAUCCAGAUCAGGUCCUGUAGGAAAGACCAAAGUCUGGUUCACGUAUGCCAUCCUGACCUGCAUCCUGCUCAGUACACUGCACAGCGCCUGGUGUCAGCACCAGAACAGAUCUUCAGCCAUCUCUGAAGGUCCAAUCUCCUCCCAGCGCUGAGAGCUGCUCAGGCAGUCUGCACUCAGCAAAUGGAUCAGAUGUGACUCCAAACACCACACAUCUGAGAACAAUGUUUCAUACUUCCAUCUCAUUUUUCAUGCAUGAAUUCCAGUGCUUCUUGAAAAAUAUUGGCAGUUAGAAAAGCCAUGCAAUAUUUCUGGAGCAUAAGUAAGUAUUGCC